AUACGGAGGGUGCGAGCGUUGUUCGGAAUUAUUGGGCGUAAAGCGCGUGUAGGCGGUUUGCUCAGUCUGAUGUGAAAGCCCCGGGCUCAGCCUGGGAAGUGCAUUGGAUACUGGCAGACUUGAAUACGGGAGAGGGCAGUGGAAUUCCUGGUGUAGGAGUGAAAUCUGUAGAUAUCUGGAAGAACACCGGUGGCGAAGGCGAACUUCUGGCCAAUGACUGACGCUGAGGCGCGAAAGUGCGGGGAGC
rnacentral:rRNA from 1 species